AAGUCGUAACAAGGUAUCCGUAUGUGAACCUGCGGAUGGAUCAUUAUCUGUCAAGCGAGAUCGCUUAGACUCGGCACUGUGAAUGGUCUAAUACGCCAAACACAAAGUGCGCUGGUUUGCCUAUCAAGAAAUAGGUACCAGUACUUGUUGUUUGCUCUCAAGCAAGCGAGACAAGUUUGAAAGAGCCUAAAGGGUGGUGAGUACGGAAAACGUACUUUCCCUAUCAUACCCUUCUCUUUACCAAUUCCAACGCAACUGCUUAGGCAGUUGUGUUACAAGUUUGACUACAUCAUAAACGAUGAAUACAAACAAACAAAAAAUUCACUCCUAGCCGGGGAUCACUUGGCUGACGGGUCGAUGAAGAACGUAGCAAGCUACGAUAAACGGUGUAAAUUGCAGAACACGCCGAACACUUGAUCUUCGAACGCACAUUGCGGCUAGCAUCAUUGACUAGCCAUGUCUGUGUGAGGGUUGUAACGAGUAAGAUCAACACAUAGUGUGAAGGAGUAGGGUUAAAACUCAUUUGUUUUAUCGCUACUCGUAGCAUCACGCUACACUCACACGUAUGAACGAGUAGUGUGCGAGAUACCACGCGUAUCUUUCACGGCACACUGCAUACCAUCGUUCAAGUGUACACACUUUCACUCAUUUCACAACCUCACAUCAGGCAAGAGUACCCGCUGAAUUUAA
rnacentral:rRNA from 1 species